rnacentral:rRNA from 1 species
CCUGGCGGUAGGCUUAUACAUGCAAGUCGUGCGAGAAAGUAUCUUCGGAUAUGAGUAGAGCGGCGGACGGGUGAGUAACGCGUAGGAAUCUACCUAGUAGAAGGGGAUAGCCCGGGGAAACUCGGAUUAAUACCGUAUACCUCCUUAGGGAGAAAGAGGGCCUCUCUUUGAUGCUCUCGCUACUAGAUGAGCCUGCGUAAGAUUAGCUAGUUGGUGAGGUAAUGGCUCACCAAGGCGACGAUCUUUAGCUGGUCUGAGAGGACGAUCAGCC